GUGGGGAAUCUUGCGCAAUGGGCGAAAGCCUGACGCAGCCAUGCCGCGUGAAUGAUGAAGGUCCUAGGAUUGUAAAAUUCUUUCACCGGGGACGAUAAUGACGGUACCCGGAGAAGAAGCCCCGGCUAACUUCGUGCCAGCAGCCGCGGUAAUACGAAGGGGGCUAGCGUUGCUCGGAAUUACUGGGCGUAAAGGGCGCGUAGGCGGACAGUUUAGUCAGAGGUGAAAGCCCAGGGCUCAACCUUGGAAUUGCCUUUGAUACUGGCUGUCUUGAGUACGGGAGAGGUGAGUGGAACUCCGAGUGUAGAGGUGAAAUUCGUAGAUAUUCGGAAGAACACCAGUGGCGAAGGCGACUCACUGGCCCGUUACUGACGCUGAGGCGCGAAAGCGUGGGGAGCAAACAGGAUUAGAAACCCUUGUAGUCC
rnacentral:rRNA from 1 species